GUCUACGGCCAUGCCACCCUGAACAAGCCUGAUCCCGUCUGAUCUCGGAAGCUAAGCAGUGUCGGGCCUUGUUAGUACUUGGAUGGGAGACCUCCUAGGAAGACCAGGUGCUGUCGGCG
rnacentral:rRNA from 1 species